rnacentral:rRNA from 1 species
UGGGGAAUAUUGGACAAUGGGCGGAAGCCUGAUCCAGCCAUGCCGCGUGUGUGAAGAAGGCCUUUUGGUUGUAAAGCACUUUAAGCGAGGAGGAGGCUACUUGGAUUAAUACUCUAGGAUAGUGGACGUUACUCGCAGAAUAAGCACCGGCUAACUCUGUGCCAGCAGCCGCGGUAAUACAGAGGGUGCGAGCGUUAAUCGGAUUUACUGGGCGUAAAGCGUGCGUAGGCGGCUUCUUAAGUCGGAUGUGAAAUCCCUGAGCUUAACUUAGGAAUUGCAUUCGAUACUGGGAAGCUAGAGUAUGGGAGAGGAUGGUAGAAUUCCAAGUGUAGCGGUGAAAUGCGUAGAGAUCUGGAGGAAUACCGAUGGCGAAGGCAGCCAUCUGGCCUAAUACUGACGCUGAGGUACGAAAGCAUGGGGAGCAAACAGG